GUUUCACAGCGUAGCUAGAAAUUUUUAGGCUCGAAAACAGAAUAAAAAUAACGGAAGGUCUCCAACAUGAACAAAUUGUACAUUCUGAACCUUCCACUGUAGACUGAAUGCUUUCAUAAGCCACCUGCUCUGCUGCUAACGCCGAAUUGUCGAAGGCUCUAAAUCAAAUCCUCUGAUAAGACCCGAAAAAUGGUGAACUAUGCUUGCGUAGGUUAAGCCAGAGGAAACGCUGGUGGAGGACCACAGCGAUUCUGACGUGCAAAUCGAUCGAUCGAUCGCCCCUAUCGAUUGUGAGUAUAGGGGCGAAAGACUAAUCGAACCAUCUAUUAGCUGGUUCCCUCCGAAGUUUCUCUCAGGAUAGCUGGCACUCAUUCACAAGAUCAGUUUUAUCCGGUAAAGCGAAUGAGUAGAGGAACCGGGUUCGAAAUGAGCUCAACCUAUUCUCAAACUUUAAAUGGGUGAGAUGCCCGGCUCGCUUUGUAGGAGUCGAACGCUAAAUGUGCGAGUGCCAAGUGGGCCAUUUUUGGUAAGCAGAACUGGCGCUGUGGGAUGAACCAAACUUGGAAGAUUUGGGGGGAAUGCCAUCUUACGUUACACACACUUCGAAUUUCGACAGCAAAUGCUGAU
rnacentral:ncRNA from 1 species